rnacentral:rRNA from 1 species
GUCGUCGACUUACCUCUAUUCGUUCUCGUGGACGUUGAAGAUGUCGUUAGGAUUACGCUAGUGGGGUAUUUUCAUUCGUAAAUUGUGAAUGUAGUUACACUUCUUCUAGUAUAUCACACGGUAACCUAUACUUGAGUAUUUGAUCGUUUCCGUGAAGACAAAGCUCUGUUGUUGGUUUUUCGAACUGGUGUAAGGCUACUUACUAAACACUGUCCUACCGUUGGAGCAACUAUUUGACCAGUUAGAGUCAAACGAGGUGGUCGAAUCUGAAAAAAUACCGGUGAUGUGCAACCAGCCUAUCUUAGGGAAACAUUUGGCACGGUACAGGAGGUACUGGUUCUUAUACUGACUGUAGUUUCAACAACCAACGAAAUAGAUUAAGGAGGUUUCUCUUAUAGAAAC